rnacentral:rRNA from 1 species
GAUGAACGCUGGCGGCGUGCCUAAUACAUGCAAGUCGAGCGAACAGAUGAGGAGCUUGCUCCUCUGACGUUAGCGGCGGACGGGUGAGUAACACGUGGAUAACCUACCUAUAAGACUGGGAUAACUUCGGGAAACCGGAGCUAAUACCGGAUAAUAUAUUGAACCGCAUGGUUCAAUAGUGAAAGACGGUUUUGCUGUCACUUAUAGAUGGAUCCGCGCCGCAUUAGCUAGUUGGUAAGGUAACGGCUUACCAAGGCAACGAUGCGUAGCCGACCUGAGAGGGUGAUCGGCCACACUAGAACUGAGACACGGUCCAGAGUCCUACGGGAGGCAGCAGUAGGGAAUCUUCCGCAAUGGGCGAAAGCCUGACGGAGCAACGCCGCGUGAGUGAUGAAGGUCUUCGGAUCGUAAAACUCUGUUAUUAGGGAAGAACAAAUGUGUAAGUAACUAUGCACGUCUUGACGGUACCUAGUCAGAAAGCCACGGCUAACUACGUG